GUGACCGUGGCCGAGUGGUUAGGCACAGGAUUGUGGAUCCUGCUUACAUCGGUUCGAAACCGAUCGGUCACCCCA
rnacentral:tRNA from 1 species